AAGGCGAUGUCGAUCUGGCGCUUAGUGCCCUUGAGCGCGUGGCUUCCGGAGCUAACGCGUUAAAUCGACCGCCUGGGGAGUACGGCCGCAAGGUUAAAACUCAAAUGAAUUGACGGGGGCCCGCACAAGCGGUGGAGCAUGUGGUUUAAUUCGAUGCAACGCGAAGAACCUUACCUGGUCUUGACAUCCACAGAACUUUCCAGAGAUGGAUUGGUGCCUUCGGGAACUGUGAGACAGGUGCUGCAUGGCUGUCGUCAGCUCGUGUUGUGAAAUGUUGGGUUAAGCCCCGCAACGAAAA
rnacentral:rRNA from 1 species